rnacentral:rRNA from 1 species
AAUUUUUGCGCAAUUGGACGAAAUUUGACGCAUCCAUGCCGCGUGAAGGAUGAAUGCCUUCGUGGUUUUUAAACUUUUUUUUAUACAGGAAGAAACCCCUUUUACGUGUAGAGGGCUGACGGUACUGUACGAAUAAGCACCGUUUAUUUCCGUUCCAGCAGCCGUUUUAUUUCGUAGUGUGCAUGCUUUAUCCGUUUUCAUUGGGUUUAAAGGGUGCGCAGGCGGUUUAUUAAGUCAGUGGUGAAAUCCUUCAGUUCAAUUGUAGAACUGCCAUUGAUACUGAUAGACUUGAAUGCGGUUGAAGUGGGCGGAAUUGUAGUGUAGCGGUGAAAUGCAUAGAUAUUACACAGAACUCCGAUUGCGAAGGCAGCUCAUUAAGCCGUUAUUGACGUUCAGGCAUGAAAGCGUGGGGAGCGAACAGGAUUAGAUACCCUGGUAGUCCACGCUGUU